rnacentral:misc_RNA from 1 species
GAAGGGCAUCAACUAUAUUCAAACUGCAGCUGACCUCAUUCCUUAGCCUUUUACCCUACUACUACUACUGCCAGCUUCACUUAUUUUCGUCAUAUCUUUGCUCUGAAUAAUAAUAACAAUAUAUAUAUUAUAUAUAUAUUAUAUAUAUAUUAUAUAUAUAUAUAUAUAUAUAUAUAAUAUCUUUAUAUGUAUAUAUAUCAACGGUGCUGAAUCGGAAGGAGCAUUGCCGUGCUGUUUUUGAAGUGCUACAAUGGAGCUCGAGCAAACGGCAACCUCAAACCCACAUGCUAUUUUCACUAGCAUGUUUUUCAAUCAGUUAAAGCGUAUUAUCGACUCUGAGUUUCCUCUGCGCCAUGACCCCGUGAAGAGCCCACUCACUUACGGAACGGCAGGAUUUCGUUUUAAAGCUGAGCUUCUUCCACCAGUGGCAGCCCGUGUUUCCAUGAUAGCCGCACUUCGAUCCGUGUACUGCCAAGGAAAGCGAGCAGCAGAAGGUUACAGUGUACCCUGCACGGUGGGUAUAAUGAUCACGGCAUCUCAUAAUCCGUACGUGGACAACGGAUUCAAAAUUAUCGAUGUUGACGGAGGAAUGCUUGCAGAGUCCUGGGAGAAGUGGUGCACACGCGCUGCAAAUGCCUCGUCGGGAAGCGACCUGGAGAGAGUCAUGAUGGACUGCUUGACGCAUGAUCCUAGAGUGUUUCAGCCGAAACAAUACUCGUAUUGCCAGGUGCACUUUUCCAGAGACACCAGACCGAGCGGCGAAGAAAUCGUGAACGCAGGGUUGAGAACACUGCAUCUUUUACGGAACACCACCGCAAGAUCUUACCCACCUGUUUCGACGCCUUGCAUGCACUUCGCGAUCGCAAAAGCCAACGAGCUCGGCUUGGCGGAUGAGUCUGUGUCUCCAUCUUAUUAUAACGAGCUUUUAGCUGGUUUCGAGGAGAUGUAUCGCUUUGCAAGCCCGGGCUCGCAGUCAAGUGAGAAAGAAGGCAAUCCCCAGCAACUCGUUGUUGACUGCGCCAACGGUAUCGGCUCCCUGACGGUGAAGGAGCUCAUUAACGCUUCCAGACAGCAAUCCGACUUCGUAGCGUUAGCUACCUUUUUCGAGUUGCACCAGGUAGACUGCAACUGCCAGGAUGAAACGGUGCUGAACAGCAAAUGUGGAGCCGACUAUGCAAAACAGCACGCAACGCCGUCUGCCGCAAUGUCAGCGUGGCCAAGCACCUGCCCGCCAGGUGUGAAUCCUAUUGCCACACACUUUUACUCCCUCGACGGCGACGCGGACCGCGUUGUCGCAUUUCUCUACGACCCAAAGCGGGAUUCCAAAUGGGUUCUGCUGGACGGUGAUCGAAUGUCCAUCCUUUACGCAAUGUUGUUGCAUAAGUGGCUUGGUGAAGAGCAGAUGAGGGCUUUGGAUGUGGCUGUUGUGCAGACAGCCUAUGCAAACGGCGCAUCAACAGAGUUUCUCGAGAAGCAGCUCCACAUGCAGGUGCAUACCUCCGCCACUGGCGUCAAAAACCUUCACCCGAUUGCGCACGCGCACGACGUGGGAAUCUACUUUGAGGCAAACGGCCACGGUACAGUGUUGUUAUCUGAAAAGGUGCUCACAGGGGCUGCUUCGACCGGACCUGAAAAGGCUGCGCUGUUCGCCGCGAUGAGGCGUCUGAUGUCCCAGUACUGCGGCGAUGCGAUCGCUGACAUGUUAAUGUGUGAAGUUGCGCUGAAAGCUCUGAAUCUUACAUUUCAGGACUGGGCGGACUUGUACGCUGAUCGUCCUUGCAAGCAGAUCAAGGUCACUGUUGCACAUCGUGGUCGAAUUACGAACACCCCUGAUGAGCGUCGGGCAUUGUCGCCUGCCGGCAUGCAGGAUGAAAUUGAUGCCGCGGUCUCUCUGGCUUUGUCUCGUUGCGAGGCGGCGCGAGCUUUUGUCCGUCCUAGCGGUACGGAGCCGGUUGUGCGUGUUUAUGCGGAGGCCACUGACCCGUCAGUGUGCGAGUCUCUCUCCGCAGAGGUCGCCAAGAUUGUUGAAGCAUACUGCAGCUGAAAGGUAUGAGCAGUCAAGCUGUUUUCGGUGGUACGGCGUUGUUUUACUUUUUUUCUUUCUCUUGGGGCGAGGUAAUGACGGCUCACGAACGCAAAGAAGGGGUUCUCCCUUCGACGCACUUUUUACACGAAAUUUUUUAUUGUUGUUUCUCUUGCAGAACGAAAGCAGUACAGAUGCUGCAUUAUAUAUAUAUAUAUGUACAUAUACAUAAGAGGAGCAGAAACGCAAAGCAUGGCUUCCACUGGCCCCACCACGAUGCUCCGUUUCGUCCCCUCCAAAAUUAUUCUCAUUUUCCUUUUUUCCCGUGUUGCUUUUCCCUGCUUCAUAUGCGCGGCCACCUUUUUUUUCUCCUUUCUUUGUGUGUGUUUGCUGGCACGGUUGCCGCUCGUGGUUUUGGGAAGGAGGCUUUGCUAGAAUGUGGUCGUAGUAAACUGGCGCGCUGUGCACCCCCACCUUUGUUCCCUCCCUUCACAUUAGCACUUUCUUUUUUUUUUUGUGGUUUUCCUCAUGGGCUGUAGUCAUCUCUGUCGAAUAUCAGCGGGAAAACAGGCAAACAAACAGACACACUAAAGGACACCAACAAGGGCAGGCCCCGUCUCCGUCGAUUGCAACAGGCCACGCGCAGGGGUGAGAUCAGGCCAACUCUAGAGGCACACAAGGUUGCGACUCCGACAGGUGCUGUGUUGCUUGCGCAUGUAGGCCUUGAGCCGAGUGCCUCAGAGGGGCUUGUUGCUUCAUAU